GAUUCCUCGCGCGCCGGCUGCUUGGCUUGCCGGGAGACGGGGCGGGGCGUCGUCGGGGUCUCCCGGGCGACCGUCCAAGAGUCGGCGCCCUUCGCGUUCCGCAGGUUUAGGCGGAGGCGGAGCGUUUGGGGGCGUCCGGGACGGCUGCUUCGGCUUCAUCUGCCCCAGGUUUGGCCGCGGGCGCGCGGAGCCAGCGCCUUCCAGACCCACGGAGCGCCCCGAGCGCCUCGCGAGCAGUCGCCAAAUGCGCCCGAGGUCCGCGGCCGGCGCCUGUGCUGGGACCUCGGCUGCAGGGGUGGGAGCGCGGCGGGAGAGACUCCGGCUCGGGUGCGGGGCUAGAACGGCUGGGACCCGGAGGGCUCCCAGGGCUCCGCAUCUCGGACGGGUCAGGGCCCUGCGGCCUCAGGACGCUCCCCCGGGCGUGUGUGUUUUUGAGAUGAGGACUUGCUCUGUCGUCCAUGGCGGUGCUACCAUAGCUCCCUGCAGCUUCGACCUCCCAGGCUCAAGGAUCCUCCUCCUGCCUUGGGACCACAGGGGUGAGCUGUCAUGCCCAGCCCAGCAUUCCUGUAAUUCCAGGUACUCACUCCUGUAAUUCCUGUAACACGGGGUCUACCGCCACAGACCAGGAGGCUUCGGCCUCCUCGCAGGGCAGCAGUCCGGCUGGGGAGGAGGUAGGGCCGGGAACAGCACUUGCCUCCUCUAAUUAGGGGAUUAACUGUGUGCUGAUAAUUGCACCUCCCCCAGCACCUGCCUGUUUGGAAGUGCUAACACCUCCACCUGCUCCUCCUAUAAUUCCAGGUACUCAGGAGGCUGAGGCAGGAGAAUCACUUGAACUCAGGAGACAGAGGUUGCAGUGAGCCGAGAUCACGCCACUGCACUCCAGCUUGGGCCACAGAACGAGACUCCAUCUCCAAAAAAAAAAAAAAAAAAAAAAAAGGAGGUAGCGUCCGUAUGUAGGCAACCCGCACGACUUCAAGGGCCUCGGCUGGUGAGAAAAUCCUGCCUCAAAAGGGUGCAUGCUCGGUGAUUCCGCGGUCUACCGUUCCCUCUUAAAAAUUUUUUUAAGCAGAGACAGUCUUGCUGUGUUGACCGGGCUGGUCUGGAACUCCCUGGUUCGACCUGCCUGCCUCUCGCUGUGCCUGGUUCUACAGCUGUUAAAGGGUAAAACGGUGGAGCUGGGUUACAGAUCACGGCGGUGAGCAGGGGUGGGGUGGGCGCCCCAGGGGUCUGGAAGGUUGGACCACUCACGUGGGCCCGGAUGCCUCCUAGUCGUGACACUGCCUUCCUGUUCUGCCAUUCUGCUGGGGGAAUCAGGGUUGGGGGCUGGGGGAAUCCCUGAGCUCCACUGGGGGAAGUUGGGGUCGGGGGUCCCUGAGCUCCUCAGCCCUGACUGGGCUUGACGGUCUUUUGGCCUUGACUUUGUCCUUUACUCUAGAACAUGGCUGUGUGGACAAAGAGUUCAAAACCCCUAGAAGAUGCCGGGCGCGGUGGCUCACGCCUGUAAUCCCAGCACUUUGGGAGGCAGAGCAGGCGGAUCACCUGAGGUCAGGAGUUUGAGACCAGCCUGGCCAACAUGGUGAAACGCCAUCUCU
ensembl:lncRNA